GAUGAACGCUGGCGGCGUGCCUAAUACAUGCAAGUCGAGCGAACAGACGAGGAGCUUGCUCCUCUGACGUUAGCGGCGGACGGGUGAGUAACACGUGGAUAACCUACCUAUAAGACUGGGAUAACUUCGGGAAACCGGCGCUAAUCCCGGAUAAUAUAUUGAACCGCAUGGUUCAAUAGUGAAAGACGGCUUUGCUGUCACUUAUAGAUGCAUCCGCGCUGCAUUAGCUAGUUGGUAGGGUAACGGCUUACCAAGGCAACGAUGCGUAGCCGACCUGAGAGGGUGAUCGACCACACUGGAACUGAGACACGGUCCAGACUCCUAAGGGAGGCAGCAGUAGGGAAUCUUCCGCAAUGGGCGAAAGCCUGACGGAGCAACGCCGCGUGAGUGAUGAAGGUCUUCGGAUCGUAAAACUCUGUUAUUAGGGAAGAACAAAUGUGUAAGUAACUAUGCACGUCUUGACGGUACCUAAUCAGAAAGCCACGGCUAACUACGUG
rnacentral:rRNA from 1 species